rnacentral:rRNA from 1 species
UGAACGCUGGCGGCGUGCUUAACACAUGCAAGUCGUACGAGAACUCUUCUGCUUGCAGAAGAUAGUAAAGUGGCGCACGGGUGAGUAACGCGUGGGUAAUCUACCUUCGAAUCGGGGAUAACCCGCCGAAAGGCGAGCUAAUACCGGAUAAUAUCUUUAAAACUUAGGUUUUUAAGAUCAAAGGUGGUCUCUACAUGUAAGCUACUGUUUGGAGAUGAGCCCGCGUACCAUUAGCUUGUUGGUAGGGUAAUGGCCUACCAAGGCCGCGAUGGUUAGCUGGUCUGAGAGGAUGAUCAGCCACACUGGAACUGACACACGGUCCAGACUCCUACGGGAGGCAGCAGUGAGGAAUUUUGCGCAAUGGGGGAAACCCUGACGCAGCAACGCCGCGUGAGUGAUGAAGGCUUUCGGGUCGUAAAGCUCUGUCAAGUGGGAAGAACCUGCUCGAUGCUAAUACCAUCUAGCACUGACGGUACCACUAAAGGAAGCACCGGCUAACUCC